rnacentral:rRNA from 1 species
AACUUAAAGGAAAUUGACGGGGCCCGGCACAAGCAGCGGAGCGUGUGGUUUAAUUCGAUGAUACGCGAAGAACCUUACCUGGCUUGACAUGCACGUGGUACUGAUUCGAAAGAUGAGGGACCCUUCGGGGAGCGUGCACAGGUGUUGCACGGCCGUCGUCAGCUCGUGCCGUGAGGUGUUGGGUUAAGUCUCGCAACGAGCGCAACCCCCGUCGCCAGUUGUAUUUUUCUGGCGAGACUGCCGGGAAGUCCCCGGAGGAAGGAGGGGAUGAUGUCAGGUCAGCGUGGCCCUUACGACCAGGGCUACACACACGCUACAAUGGGUGGUACAGAGGGUCGCGAAGCCGCGAGGUGGAGCUAAUCCCACAAAGCCAUCCUCAGUUCGGAUUGCAGGCUGAAACUCGCCUGCAUGAAGCCGGAGUUGCUAGUAACCGCAGGUCAGCACUACUGCGGUGAAUACGUUCCCGGGCCUU